rnacentral:lncRNA from 1 species
UUAAUGAGGUUGACCUCUUACGAUGGAAUCCCAAGCUUCAAUAAUCAAAGACCCUUUAGACUCAAAGGAGAGGCUGCAAUUAUGUGAAAAUGCAAACCAAGACCCGAAGCUAGAGACCUAAAAAUGAAAUGGCUUCAACAUUCCAAUUGUUGGCUCAUUUUUUGCUCUGAUGCUCGGACUCUUCGAAAAGGUUGCAUGAUAUGGGUAUGAGUAUAGAAUAUGUGAAGGUUCCUCCAAGUUUCAAUGAGACACUUUGCC